UUUGCAUGAAGAAAUUGGUUCUGGACUUCUCUUAUGUACCCAAAUAAUAUAUUAAAAAAUCAGAACUACAAUAUAAAUUGCAUGCACACCCCCUUUUUUAUGUCUAUAUUGACUGGGCUAUAAUAGAUAAUACCAGGUGAGAACAAUUGAUUUCAGUAUAUUUAGUAACUGUUUGAGUUAGUUAUAUUGUGUUGAAUCAAAGAUUGAAUAAGUAUUACCAGAAGAAAUUCAUAUUCAACUAGUUCAAAAAUUAUGUAAAUUUUGUUAUUUUGUUAGUUAACUCUUGUUAGACACUCAAGAGUGCCUAAGUUACCGAUUGGCGUUCUCAUCUACUCCGAUAGUAACGUCCAAAUUACGCACUGAUAUCAUUUGAAAGCAAGUUACCAAAAACAAUAUGCUAAGAUAGGUACACAAAUAAACGAUGUAUGGACUGAAUGAUUUAACAUAUCCUUUGUGAAUAAAAAGCUGAAUUGAAAUAAAGAGCAAACUUUUCCAGAUUUCUCUUGCAUGUCUGUGUUAUACUAUAAGUUCAAUCAGACUUGUAGUGUACAAGACAAGCUGACAGAAUUUGUUGGCUUGAAAAGCAAGCACAGUUGACUUUUAUAAGGAUUGAGUUGUUUGAAAUAUUAGGUGCUGAAGGUUUUAGUAAAUUCAAUUUAUAGAAAUAAGUCAAGACCACCAUCCUUUUAUUUCUUCUUUAGAAGUAAUAAUUAUACAUUAAAUGUGUUACAUUCAAGGUUAUGUUUGAUCAAAGAUUUAAAACCAAAGCUAAUUAUUUGUUAAAUUGUAAUUAUUAUUACUUUAAUUAAGUUGUGAAAUGGGCAUUGAAUUCAAUUCGCAGUAACAAUAGUUGUAGCUCACAUUUCGCAUUACACUAAGCUUAAGGAAGUAUUAAUUGAAUAUUUGAAUUUUUAUCCUAUAUUUAUUUACUUUGGAUAUGAUAGAUUAGUUGGAAUAUAUUAUAAACUGUGCCAAAUCACCUAUAAGUGUCUUAUGAUUAUAAGCUACUAAAGCGGAUCAAUAUAGAAUAAUUUAUUAAUUUAGAAAUAUUCACCAAAUCUGUUUUAAGAAAUGAUAUUUCUUGUUAGACUUGAAAGUCUUCUGAAUGUAGUUGGCUUUUAUUAUUUGUCAUGUGUUGAAUUGUGGGUGGCAAUUCAUGGAAAUAAAUGAUCACAUUUCACUUGGAUAGUAGACUAAAUAAGCCUGAAUUUUCUACAAAUAAUGCCAAAAAUGAAUAAGUUAUAAUGUAUAUAAAAUAUAGCUUCUUGUGCCUUAAUAAUAUGUAUUUUAGCUGUAUAAUAUUAUAGUGAUUUGUAUGCAUGAAACAUCACACCAGGAAUUCAGUAUAAAUUAUUAUUGUAUUGGAAUAAUUUUUCACCAGACUAUCAUUAGCAUUUUUUCCAAGAAUUAAUUUUGUGAUUUGCCAUUAUAAAAACUGAUUUAUAUAUUUUUUCUAUUCCAAGUGUUAUAUUUUUCAUUUUGAUGAAAAUAGCCAUAAAAGCUGGAUUUACCAUAUUUUAUUUAAUUCUUGAACAUAAAUCGUUACCAUACUUAAAUUGCUUUUCUUCUGUUGACUUUGAGAUUUUGUUCCUGUUUAAUUUUUGUUCUUCACAACGUUUGAUUGAAAAAAUUGAAAGUAGAUAUUAUAAUUUCCAAAACAAUACAUUAGCAGUAUUUGAGAAUAAUUUAUUUUUGAACUAUGUGAGAAUAAUAGCAAGAAAUCGAUACAAUAAACUAUAUUGGCUACCUAUUUAUAUUAUUUAAAUCGACCAAAAAAGUGACUAGUCUAUAAUUUUCAUUUUAUACCAUUUUAAGUUGUUAAAUUAAUGUCAAAUUUCAAGGCGAAUGAAGUUCAAGAAAUACUGGAUAAUUUUCUGUAUUCUUGUGAAUGGUUAUCUAUUUUGGACUUAUUAGAAUAAAUUGAUUAAGGCUGUGUAUUUAGUGCCUUGGUAUUAUUUUCACCAAUGACCAUCAAUCAAUUCAUUAUUCUUUUAUAAUCCAAAGGCUAAAAAUGAAAAAAAAUACAUCACAUUUAUUUUUAUUAUUACUUACAAAUCGUUUUGAGGAUCUGAUGUUCGUUUGAUCAGGUUUCUGAAAUAUAUAUUUUAUAAUAUAAAUGAUACUUAUAAUUAAUAAUAUGAUACUUAUAAUAAAUAAUCUAACCUUUAAAGUAAUAUUUAGUCAAUUAAUGUGCCUUUGAUAAUGCUUACUAGUCUAGUUAUGUUUCAUGAUGAAUACUAUUUAGUGCCAUUGACACUCCAAUCUAUAGUCUAUAAUAAUUUUGUAAUAUUAUGCAUAUUUUUUAAAACAGGAUCACUGGAUCACUGAAUAUUUCAUUUAUUUGUAACAGAAAUAUUUCAGUCUUUAGUAUUAUAAAUAUCAAACAAUUCAAUUUGAUAAUACGUUGAGUAAAAAGAAAAGAUGGAGUGAAAUAUUAUCAAUGUUAGUCAAGCUUCUACCAGUGAACAAUGUAUUGAACUGUCAAUUUAAUGUUCAUGACUUUCAAACACUGUCUUUUUCAUUUCUAUUUCGUUUAAUCAAGUGUAUGCUGUUUAACUUGAGCUGAUAAAUUAUGAUGUUGUCAGGAUUGUUGUUUUAUUUUACAUCCAUCGUUCACUUAAAUCGAAUUUUUGAAUAUUAAAUACUGUAGUAGCUCACCUGAAUUUGUAAUUAUGUAUGCAUGUCUAAAACAAUUUCUGAUUAUAUAGAACAUACAAUGAUUAUUGUUAAUUGCUGUGGAAGUGAGUUGACAUUUUUUCAAUAAUGCCAACCAAAUUAGUGGAACACAAGAUAACUAUGGGUAAAAAUGACUUUGGAUUACCAUGUUAUAAAUGUUUUAAAGUCUCAGGAGAAAGAAUCAAUCAAUCUCUAUGAGUUGGAAGAUAACUUGUAGAUUUUAUUAUGAAGGAGUACCAAGUGUUACAUAUCAAGUUCAGGAAGACGUCAUUCACUCGAAAUUGGGAUGUUGACGUUGAAGGCGAGGGAGAUAGUGAUUCCAGGUAUCCUUGUCACAAAUGUGGAAGAGUGUACAGAUGGAAACACACCAGAGACAACCAUGCGAAGAAUGAGUGCGGACAAGAUCCCAGGUUCCAAUGUCCCCUGUGUCCGCAUCGAUCCAAGAGGGCUCCCAAUCUCAGAAUACACAUUUAUCUCAAACACAACAAGAGAAUAUGAACAUUUCAAUCUUUCAAAAUGCAUGAAUACUUAUCCAAUUAUUGUGAUAUCUAAAUAAUCAAUCAAUAAAAUAUUUUAAUUCUACUCAUAAUGAUUAAUAAUCGGAUAAAUAUAUUGAUAUUCAAAGCAUGUAUAUAAUGAGCAUGUUUAAGAUUACCUUUUUUUGUUAGGUCUACUCUCUACUCUUAGGGCCGGAUUCCGAGCUCGGGAUUCAGCCAAGUCCUAGACUUUAAACAGAUGGAGUCAGAAAAUUGUUUUUCCAAAACGGGGCGUAGUCGCAGUCAUUGUCAUAGUCACGUUUGAAUUAAAGCUC